UUUAUGACCUUGUCUUUUGAAAUGUGUCUGUUCUUUAUUUAUAUAGAUAUAUAUAGAACAGACACAUUUCAAAAGACAAGGUUAUAAAAAUAAUAUA